rnacentral:rRNA from 1 species
GACGAACGCUGGCGGCGUGCUUAACACAUGCAAGUCGAACGGAAAGGCCCUGCUUUUGUUGGUUGCUCGAGUGGCGAAGGGGUGAGUAACACGUGAGUAACCUGCCCUUGACUUUUGUAUAACUUCACGAAACUGGGGCUAAUCCCGUAUAGGAUCUCCUGCUUCAUGGUGGUGGUUGGUAAGUUUCGGCGGUUGUGUCUGGACUCGCGGCUUAUCCGCUUGUUGGUCGGGUAGUGGCUUACCAAGGCUUCGACGGGUAGCCGGCAUGAGAGGGUGACCGGCCACACUGGGACUGAGAUAGGGCCCAGAAGGGGACGGGAGGCAACAGUGGGGAAUAUUGCAGAGUGGGGGGAAGGCGGAUGCAGAGAAGGCGGGUGCGGGAUGACGGCCUUAGGGUUGUGAACCGCUUUGGCCUGUGAUGAAGCGGGAGUGACGGUAAUGGGUAAAGAAGCACCGGCUAACUACGUG